UUAGACAAACGGUGACGAUGAAGCCAAAGAAGAAGAAGGUAUCUCUACUUUAACUACGCAGCCUUCCCACCAGGAAGUAAGAAGAGUCUUGGUUGAAAAGGCCAAUGCAAACUUGUUCCGCGCACAUUGUGAAAAAGAAACAGCGAACACACAACCUAUGACAGCAAACACACAACCCACAGUGAACACACAACCCACCGCAAACACACAACCCACCGCGAACACACAACCCCACAGCGAACACACAACCCACGUGAGGUCACUGCCCCUGCCUUGGCAGAAGCUGAAGGAUCCAAACAGUGUGCUAAUUGUAGCGCUGGUUACCAUGCUAACGGUGAUGGCCUCUGGGUAUUGGACGGACCGGUUGGCGUUACGCUGCGAUGGAACCAGCAGAUGGGAGGGGCUGGCUCGGCCCCCCUCCCCGUCUCAAGCUCUCCGGUCUGACGAGCUCCACCAAAGCGUGGCUGUUUGUUGGCCGGUCGGCCGCUGAUACGUCCGUCAGCUCAGCCAGAGAGAGGUCAGCAUCACAACGCUAACGUCCACACCAGGGGCCAGAGAGGUCAGUGUCACACGCUAACGUCCACACCAGGGGCCAGAGAGGUCAGUGUCACAACGCUAACGUCCACACCAGGGGCCAGAGGGCGCUGAGCUGAUUGAGAGGCGGUCGGAGAACCUCCUUCUGCAGCCCGCUCGUCUGGGUUCUCCGUUCCCUUUUAGAACCGAGGUUCUCAACUUCUACUGGUUCAACCAACAUCUCUGAAAGGAGGAGAACAUCAUCACAGGACCGGACUGAAGAGGGUUAAACCAGCGUCGACCACAGACGUUGUGUUGAACUACAGCUAAGCAUUUAAGAGUUAAGAUCACAGCAUAAUUGCAAUCUUGCAUCUAUUGUUUGAAUGUCUACAUCUGGUCAGGUCCUUUUGUCCCUGGGGAUUGAACCCAGUGCCUUUUUGACAGGGAGUGGAACUAGACUGUCCUGGCCCAGAGGGGAGUCUGGUUCACCACACUAUCAGAAGAGAGAGCUCUUCUUAGUCUCCGUGGCUCAGAGACCUACUUCCUCCCUGCUGCAGUGCUGAGUGGGCUGCAGGCCUGAGGAGCAUCACAGAUCUUUGACCAGGCAGACCCAGCAGGACAGGAAGAGCCUCUAAGCCUCUCAGCCUCUCAGCCUCACUCCCUCAUAGCCCCAAAGCCCAACAGCCUCCGAUACCUCUCAGCCUUACAGUCUCACAGACUGGGAACAAGUGGGUUCCCAGGCCAUCAGGACUGGGAACAUUUACACACACACAUACACACACUUAUUUUUCUAAUUUGUUCAUAUUUUGUCCGAUCCAUUACUUUGUUAGAUCUAGGAAUAUUGCAACGAAGUGGAGGGGAUAGUGCCCGGACUUUCCACCCGUUGCCGUGGAGCAGAGUUGUGUUGCCG
ensembl:lncRNA